rnacentral:rRNA from 1 species
ACGCUUGCUGCAUGCUUUAUACAUGCAAGUCGAACGGAGGCCCUAGCUUGCUAGGUGUCCUUAGUGGCGCACGGGUGAGUAACACGUGGGAACAUACCUCAUAGUACGGAAUAACUGCGGGAAACUGUAGCUAAUACCGUAUAUUCCAGUAAUGGGAAAGAUUUAUCGCUAUGAGAUUGGCCCGCGCAAGAUUAGUUUGUUGGUAAGGUAAUGGCUUACCAAGGCUACGAUCUUUAGCUGGUUUGAGAGGAUGAUCAGCCACACUGGGACUGAGACACGGCCCAGACUCCUACGGGAGGCAGCAGUAGGGAAUAUUGGACAAUGGGGGCAACCCUGAUCCAGCAAUGCAGCGUGAGUGACGAAGGCCUUAGGGUUGUAAAACUCUUUCAUCGGUGAGGAUAAUGACAGUAGCCGAAGAAGAAGGACCGG